rnacentral:snRNA from 1 species
AUUGCUUGUCGGGCUUUUUGGCUAAGAUCAAAUGUAGUAUCUGUUCUUAUCAGUUUAAUAUUUGAAACGUUCUCUAUCUGAGGACAAUAUAUUAAAUAGAUUUUUGGAGCAGGGAGGAUGGAAUAGGAGCUUGCUCCGUCCACUUCCACGCUUCGACUUGGUAGUGCAGUACUUCCAGGAACGGGUGGACUCCC